GACGAACGCUGGCGGCGUGCUUAACACAUGCAAGUCGAACGGAAAGGCCCUGCUUUUGUGUGGUGCUCGAGUGGCGAACGGGUGAGUAACACGUGUGUAACCUGCCCUUGACUUUGUGAUAACUUCAGGAAACUGGGGCUAAUACCGGAUAGGAGCUCCUGCUGCAUGGUGGGGGUUGGAAAGUUUCGGCGGUUGGGGCUGGACUCGCGGCUUAUGAGCUUGUUGGUGAGGUAGUGGCUUACCAAGGCUUUGACGGGUAGCCGGCCUGAGAGGGUGAACGGGCACAUUAGGACUGAGGUACGGCGCAGACUCCUAUGGGCGGCAGCAGUGGGGAGUAUGGCGCAAUGGGCGGAAGCCUGAUGCAGCAACGCCGGGUGCGGGAUGACGGCCUUCGGGGUGUAAACAGCUUUCGACUGUGACGAAGCGUGAGUGACGGUAAUGAGUAAAGAAGCACCGGCUAACUACGUG
rnacentral:rRNA from 1 species